rnacentral:pre_miRNA from 1 species
AGGUUUUCACAUUGAUUAUGCAGAUAGCACUAGAUAAAUCUGAGAUCAUUGUGAAAACUUAU